UCAAGCGAACAAGUGCAUGUGGUGGAUGCCUUGGCGAUCACAGGCGAUGAAGGACGCGGUAGCCUGCGAAAAGCUACGGGGAGCUGGCAAACGAGCUUUGAUCCGUAGAUGUCCGAAUGGGGAAACCCACUCCGAAUGGAGUAUCCAUGACUGAAUACAUAGGUCAUGUGAAGCGAACGCGGUGAACUGAAACAUCUAAGUAACCGCAGGAAAAGAAAUCAACCGAGAUUCCCAGAGUAGUGGCGAGCGAAAUGGGAUCAGCCUGUACUCUUUAUCUUCAUUGUUAGUCGAAGGCUCUGGAAAGUGCCGCCAUAGCAGGUGAUAGCCCUGUAGACGAAAACAGCGAGGAAGAACUAGGUGUACGACAAGUAGGGCGGGACACGUGAAAUCCUGUCUGAAGAUGGGGGGACCAUCCUCCAAGGCUAAAUACUCGUGAUCGACCGAUAGUGAACCAGUACCGUGAGGGAAAGGCGAAAAGAACCCCGGGAGGGGAGUGAAAUAGAUCCUGAAACCGCAUGCAUACAAACAGUAGGAGCCUCGCAAGGGGUGACUGCGUACCUUUUGUAUAAUGGGUCAGCGACUUACAUUCAGUGGCAAGCUUAACCGAUUAGGGCAGGCGUAGCGAAAGCGAGUCCGAACAGGGCGAUUCAGUCGCUGGGUGUAGACCCGAAACCAGGUGAUCUAUCCAUGGCCAGGAUGAAGGUGCGGUAACACGUACUGGAGGUCCGAACCCACUAACGUUGAAAAGUUAGGGGAUGAGCUGUGGAUAGGGGUGAAAGGCUAAACAAACCUGGAAAUAGCUGGUUCUCUCCGAAAACUAUUUAGGUAGUGCCUCGUGUAUCACCUUCGGGGGUAGAGCACUGUCAUGGUUGUGGGGUCCAUUGCGGAUUACUACGCCAUAGCAAACUCCGAAUACCGAAGAGUGCAAUCACGGGAGACAGACAUCGGGUGCUAACGUCCGGUGUCAAGAGGGAAACAACCCAGACCGCCAGCUAAGGUCCCCAAAUAUUGCUAAGUGGGAAACGAAGUGGGAAGGCUAAAACAGUCAGGAGGUUGGCUUAGAAGCAGCCAUCCUUUAAAGAAAGCGUAAUAGCUCACUGAUCGAGUCGUCCUGCGCGGAAGAUGUAACGGGGCUAAGCAAUAUACCGAAGCUGCGGAUGCACAUUUAUGUGCAUGGUAGGAGAGCGUUCCGUAAGCCUGCGAAGGUGCACUGGAAAGUGUGCUGGAGGUAUCGGAAGUGCGAAUGCUGACAUGAGUAGCGAUAAAGGGGGUGAAAAGCCCCCUCGCCGUAAGCCCAAGGUUUCCUACGCAACGUUCAUCGGCGUAGGGUGAGUCGGCCCCUAAGGCGAGGCAGAAAUGCGUAGCUGAUGGGAAGCAGGUUAAUAUUCCUGCACCAUUGUUAAAUGCGAUGGGGGGACGGAUCGCGGAAGGUUGUCCGGGUGUUGGAAGUCCCGGUCCUUGCAUUGGAGAAGGCGCUUAGGCAAAUCCGGGCGCGGAAUUCAAGGGUGCGAGGCCAUUCACUUCGGUGAAGAAGCAAUCGGAAGUGGUUCCAAGAAAAGCCUCUAAGCUUCAGUUUAACAAGACCGUACCGCAAACCGACACAGGUGGGCGAGAUGAGUAUUCUAAGGCGCUUGAGAGAACUCGGGAGAAGGAACUCGGCAAAUUGGUACCGUAACUUCGGGAUAAGGUACGCCCCUGUAGCUUGACUGGCUCGCGCCAGAAGGGUGAAGGGGUUGCAAUAAACUGGUGGCUGCGACUGUUUAAUAAAAACACAGCACUCUGCAAACACGAAAGUGGACGUAUAGGGUGUGACGCCUGCCCGGUGCCGGAAGAUUAAAUGAUGGGGUGCAAGCUCUUGAUUGAAGUCCCGGUAAACGGCGGCCGUAACUAUAACGGUCCUAAGGUAGCGAAAUUCCUUGUCGGGUAAGUUCCGACCUGCACGAAUGGCGUAACGAUGGCCACACUGUCUCCUCCCGAGACUCAGCGAAGUUGAAGUGUUUGUGAUGAUGCAAUCUCCCCGCGGCUAGACGGAAAGACCCCAUGAACCUUUACUGUAGCUUUGCAUUGGACUUUGAACCGAUCUGUGUAGGAUAGGUGGGAGGCUAUGAAGCGUGGACGCCAGUCUGCGUGGAGCCGUCCUUGAAAUACCACCCUGGUUUGUUUGAGGUUCUAACCUUGGUCCGUAAUCCGGAUCGGGGACAGUGCAUGGUAGGCAGUUUGACUGGGGCGGUCUCCUCCCAAAGUGUAACGGAGGAGUACGAAGGUACGCUAGGUACGGUCGGAAAUCGUGCUGAUAGUGCAAUGGCAUAAGCGUGCUUAACUGCGAGACCGACAAGUCGAGCAGGUGCGAAAGCAGGUCAUAGUGAUCCGGUGGUUCUGUAUGGAAGGGCCAUCGCUCAACGGAUAAAAGGUACUCUGGGGAUAACAGGCUGAUACCGCCCAAGAGUUCAUAUCGACGGCGGUGUUUGGCACCUCGAUGUCGGCUCAUCUCAUCCUGGGGCUGUAGCCGGUCCCAAGGGUAUGGCUGUUCGCCAUUUAAAGAGGUACGUGAGCUGGGUUUAAAACGUCGUGAGACAGUUUGGUCCCUAUCUGCCGUGGGCGCUGGAUAUUUGAAGGGGGCUGCUCCUAGUACGAGAGGACCGGAGUGGACGAACCUCUGGUGUACCGGUUGUCACGCCAGUGGCAUCGCCGGGUAGCUAUGUUCGGAAGAGAUAACCGCUGAAAGCAUCUAAGCGGGAAACUCGCCUUAAGAUGAGAUAUCCCCGGGGCUUCGAGCCCCUUGAAGGGUCGUUCAAGACCAGGACGUUGAUAGGUCAGGUGUGGAAGCGCAGUAAUGCGUUAAGCUAACUGAUACUAAUUGCCCGUAAGGCUUGAUC
rnacentral:rRNA from 1 species